GAUGAACGCUGGCGGCGUGCCUAAUACAUGCAAGUCGAGCGAACAGACGAGGAGCUUGCUCCUCUGACGUUAGCGGCGGACGGGUGAGUAACACGUGGAUAACCUACCUAUAAGACUGGGAUAACUUCGGGAAACCGGAGCUAAUACCGGAUAAUAUAUUGAACCGCAUGGUUCAAUAGUGAAAGACGGUUUUGCUGUCACUUAUAGAUGGAUCCGCGCCGCAUUAGCUAGUUGGUAAGGUAACGGCUUACCAAGGCAACGAUGCGUAGCCGACCUGGGAGGGUGGACGGCCACACUGGAACUGAGAAAAGGUCCAGAAUCCUAAGGGAGGCAGCAGUAGGGAAUCUUCCGCAAUGGGCGAAAGCUUGAAGGAGCAACGCCGCGUGAGUGAUGAAGGUCUUCGGAUCGUAAAACUCUGUUAUUAGGGAAGAACAAAUGUGUAAGUAACUAUGCACGUCUUGACGGUACCUAAUCAGAAAGCCACGGCUAACUACGUG
rnacentral:rRNA from 1 species